CCUACGGGGUGCAGCAGUGAGGAAUAUUGGUCAAUGGACGAGAGUCUGAACCAGCCAAGUAGCGUGAAGGAUGACUGCCCUAUGGGUUGUAAACUUCUUUUAUAUGGGAAUAAAUGUUCCACGUGUGGGAUUUUGUAUGUACUAUAUGAAUAAGGAUCGGCUAACUCCGUGCCAGCAGCCGCGGUAAUACGGAGGAUCCGAGCGUUAUCCGGAUUGAUUGGGUUUAAAGGGAGCGUAGGUGGAUUGUUAAGUCAGUUGUGAAAGUUUGCGGCUCAACCGUAAAAUUGCAGUUGAAACUGGCAGUCUUGAGUACAGUAGAGGUGAGCGGAAUUCGUGGUGUAGCGGUGAAAUGCUUAGAUAUCACGAAGAACUCCGAUUGCGAAGGCAGCUCACUGGACUGCAACUGACACUGAGGCUCGAAAGUGUGGGUAUCAAACAGGAUUAGAUACCCUAGUAGUC
rnacentral:rRNA from 1 species